UGGCUUAAAAUAAUAAUUUUAUUUAUUCAUGAUUUUGUGGGUCAGGAAUUUGGGAAGGGCUCAGAUGGGCCAUUCUUACUUGGAAUCUUUCAUGCAGUUGCAGGCAGAUGUCAGACAUCAGCAUGCUGAACAGAGCUGGACUUCCAAGUCAUUCACUCAUGUGACUGCUCAUUGUGGCUGGCCGGUGGCUGAGAGCUCAGAAUAAGUGCUGAAAACCCUGACGCGUAAAGGAGUAAGAGGCGAACUGAAUAUUAAUUUUCAUUAUGUUUCAUUAUGCUCUUUUUUAUGUGAGGAUAGUUUGUCUUAUGAAACACUAGAUAUUUCCCAGAUUCUUUCUUUAGGGGUUGAAUUCAUGAUUUUAUUUCUCUUGUCCUCAAAUUAAUGAGGGUAUCUUUCCAGAACUUUCAUCAUUGGUGCUAUGAUGAAACUUGUAAGAAAAGAAUUAUGAAUUCAUUUUCCCAUCUCAACAGAAGUAAUUUUCAGAAGACUUUUGUAGUAGUUCUGAGUAUCUGCAGACUUCUGACAAAUUGACUAUAGAUUUUAUUAUUUUCAACUGCUGAAACACUUCCUCCAGCAUUGGAAAGUUUUCACAAAUUUCUGAUUCUAGUCUCUCCUUCCAAUGUGGCAAGUUGGCUAAUGGAAUCCACAGUUGUCCAGCAGCAGCAUCCAUAAAGGUGGCUUCAGAGCUUCCUAUUAAAUGAUUUACUUCCUUCUUAAGUGCCCAGAUAGAGGCCAGCUGAGCCAAGACAUCAGUGAACCCCACCCCUUCCGACUAUUCUGGGAGUGUGAUUUACUUUUCUCAUAAAAACAUGCAACUUCUGCUCAAAUUUCAGUCAAGCCUUUCAAGACUCAUCCUCUUUAAGCCAGGGAACAUCUGUGCAGGAGGUAUCUUUGUAUUCUGUCUCCUCCUAAGAAAAACCACAUGAAGAGGCUGUGAUUCAAAACCGGGCUCAGAUGAAAGAGCCCACUUUCAGGGCCCUAGACGACACUCCCAGGGCAAGAGGCUGCCUGUGAUUUCAGGACGAAGCAAAGAAACCUCGUGACAUGUACAACUUUCUUCUUCAUUAAAGUAGAAAAGAAUUAAUGUUGUCAGGUGAAACAACUUUAGAGAGCAACAGAAUUUGUGUGCCAAGGUUGUGCCUGGCAAAUAAACUCUUCAUUCUUUUGAGGUUAUCAGUUGCAUCUACUGUUUCUAAAAGGGGUUUAAAAAGGCAUUUUUCGUAGAUGUGUUAGCUAGAAAAUAAGUUUAUAUACUGGAACCAUUGAGAGAGAGUGGUAGUUCCAUUGAGUUAAUGUUGAGGGAGAAUGAUGAGGUGCAUUACUACCUGAAACACGUUAGAAAAG
rnacentral:lncRNA from 1 species